AGAGUUUGAUCCUGGCUCAGGACGAACGCUGGCGGCGUGCCUAAUACAUGCAAGUCGAACGCAAAACUUUUAACUGAUGCUUGCAUCGACCUAAAGUUUUGAGUGGCGGACGGGUGAGUAACACGUGGGUAACCUGCCCAUCAGAGGGGGACAACACUUGGAAACAGGUGCUAAUACCGCAUAAUACAGAGAACCGCAUGGUUCUUUGUUGAAAGGCGCUUCUGGUGUCGCUGAUGGAUGGACCCGCGGUGCAUUAGCUAGACGGUGAGGUAACGGCUCACCGUGGCAAUGAUGCAUAGCCGACCUGAGAGGGUGAUCGGCCACAUUGGGACUGAGACACGGCCCAAACUCCUACGGGAGGCAGCAGUAGGGAAUCUUCGGCAAUGGACGAAAGUCUGACCGAGCAACGCCGCGUGAGUGAAGAAGGUUUUCGGAUCGUAAAACUCUGUUGUUAGAGAAGAACAGGAGCGAUAGUAACUGCUCGCUCUUUGACGGUAUCUAACCAGAAAGCCACGGCUAACUACGUGCCAGCAGCCGCGGUAAUACGUAGGUGGCAAGCGUUGUCCGGAUUUAUUGGGCGUAAAGCGAGCGCAGGCGGUCUUUUAAGUCUGAUGUGAAAGCCCACGGCUUAACCGUGGAGGGUCAUUGGAAACUGGGAGACUUGAGUGCAGAAGAGGAAAGUGGAACUCCAUGUGUAGCGGUGGAAUGCGUAGAUAUAUGGAAGAACACCAGUGGCGAAGGCGGCUUUCUGGUCUGUAACUGACGCUGAGGCUCGAAAGCGUGGGGAGCAAACAGGAUUAGAUACCCUGGUAGUCCACGCCGUAAACGAUGAGUGCUAGGUGUUAGGCCCUUUCCGGGGCUUAGUGCCGCAGCUAACGCAUUAAGCACUCCGCCUGGGGAGUACGACCGCAAGGUUGAAACUCAAAGGAAUUGACGG
rnacentral:rRNA from 1 species